CACUAUGGCUGUAACGAUGCAUCGAACUAUCGAUGGAUUGUAAUUGUUGAGUCUCCGACAGCAAGUAAUCGAUGGUAGAAAGGAAAAAUUAUCGAUACAUCGAUAGUACGUGUCACGGGGAGAGUACACGU